AAACUUACCAGGUCAAGACAUGGGCGUGAUUGACAGGCUAAUGACUUUUCUCGAUUCCAUGGAUGGUGGUGCAUGGUCGCACUUAGUUGGUGCAGUGAUUUGUCAGGUUUAUUCCGGUAACGAACGAGACCUCGGCCUUGUAAAUAGCUAUGCUGCUUACAGGGACAUUGGCGGCUACGCCAAGGAAGCUCGAGGCAAUUGCAGAUCUGGAAUGCCCUUAGAUGUCCUGGGUCGCACGCGUGCUACAAUGACGCCACGAACGAGCUUGCGUGAUGAAAGUUACGCAUAAUCAGCAGUCGGCGUCUUAAGGGAUAGUCUCUUGUAACUGUGGGACUCCAACUAGGAAUGUCUCGUAAGCACAAGUCAACAUCUUGUGUUGAUUACGUCCCUGCUCUUUGUACACACCGCCCGUCGCUCCUACCGAUUGAGUGUUUAGGUGAAUUUGAUGGACGUAAGGAAGUCAAAUAAACCUGAGCACUAGAGAAGAGAAGUCGAUCAGG
rnacentral:rRNA from 1 species